CCUGCCCUGCUGCGGCUCCCAGCGGCCCCGGACGCGCGGCGCCUGGCCGGAACGCGGGAGACGGGGCCGGGAGGUCAGGGUCAGCCCGGUAAACCAGCAUUCACUGACGUCUCCCCGUGCCGGCCGCUGAGGUACGAACAGGGAAAUGUCACGCCUGCCGCGCGCAGCCCUUAGACCGGCCAGCGGACAUUACCAAAGACCUUCCACGUGCGUUCAGUCACGACUGCUCCGGUUCAGAGACUGAGGUGGAGAAAGGCGCGGAAACUGGCUGAAAGUCACACACAGUGCCAGGUACUGGGAAGAGUGCUGAACGUGGAGCCUGAGAACUUGGACCCUGCUGCCGGGAAGGGAAGUGCUUUGACAUGCUCAUCCACAUUCAGGUAUGUUAUACAUCCCAAAGGGCUCGUAUCUGAAGAGUGGAACUGAGAUAAGGCAAUAAUGUCCUCCAAAAGAAUGAAGUAUUAAUGGAGGAAUUUCAGGCAUCCACGAAGGAGAUAAUUUGGCGGGUGGGUGGCCCCCAGUCACACCCUGUCAUUGAUUGGCUCCUCUAAGGGCCUGGGAAUGCAGCACAUGCUGUCCGACAGUCCGCCCAGCAAGUGCCACGCACUCUGCUUGGGGCUGUGAGUCACCGGGCCUGGCGGGAGGCAGGGCA